rnacentral:rRNA from 1 species
GAUCAUGGCUCAGGAUGAACGCUGGCGGCGUGCCUAACACAUGCAAGUCGAACGGAGUUAUCGGAGCUUGCUUGAUAACUUAGUGGCGGACGGGUGAGUAAUGUAUGAGCAACCUGCCUUUCAGAGGGGGACAACAGUUGGAAACGACUGCUAAUACCGCAUAAUGUGCGAGGGGGGCAUCCCUUUUGUACCAAAGGAGCAAUCCGCUGAAAGAUGGGCUCAUAUCUGAUUAGUUAGUUGGCAGGGUAACGGCCUACCAAGACUGCGAUCAGUAGCCGGACUGAGAGGUUGAACGGCCACAUUGGGACUGAGAUACGGCCCAGACUCCUACGGGAGGCAGCAGUGGGGAAUAUUGGGCAAUGGGCGAAAGCCUGACCCAAGCAACGCCGCGUGAAGGAAGAAGGUCUUCGGAUUGUAACUUCUUUUAUGAGGGACGAAGGACGUGACGGUACCUCAUGAAUAAGCCACGGCUAACUACGUGCCAGCAGCAGC